GACGAACGCUGGCGGCGUGCUUAACACAUGCAAGUCGAACGGAAAGGCCCUGCUUUUGUGGGGUGCUCGAGUGGCGAACGGGUGAGUAACACGUGAGUAACCUGCCCUUGACUUUGGGAUAACUUCAGGAAACUGGGGCUAAUACCGGAUAUGAGCUCCUGCUGCAUGGUGGGGGUUGGAAAGUUUCGGCGGUUGGGGAUGGACUCGCGGCUUAUCAGCUUGUUGGUGGGGUAGUGGCUUACCAAGGCUUUGACGGGUAUCCGGCCUGAGAGGGUGACCGGCCACAUUGGGACUGAGGUACGGCCAAGACUCCUACGGGAGGCAGCAGUGGGGAAUAUUGAACAAUGGGCGGAAGCCUGAUGCAGCAACGCCGCGUGCGGGAUGAAGGCCUUCGGGUUGUAAACCGCUUUCGCCUGUGACGAAGCGUGAGUGACGGUAAUGGGUAAAGAAGCACCGGAUAACUACGUG
rnacentral:rRNA from 1 species